rnacentral:rRNA from 1 species
UGUUUCGGCUAGGGGGCCAUCCCGGCUUACCAACCCGAUGCAAACUGCGAAUACCGGAGAAUGUUAUCACGGGAGACACACGGCGGGUGCUAACGUCCGUCGUGAAGAGGGAAACAACCCAGACCGCCAGCUAAGGUCCCAAAGUCAUGGUUAAGUGGGAAACGAUGUGGGAAGGCCCAGACAGCCAGGAUGUUGGCUUAGAAGCAGCCAUCAUUUAAAGAAAGCGUAAUAGCUCACUGGUCGAGUCGGCCUGCGCGGAAGAUGUAACGGGGCUAAACCAUGCACCGAAGCUGCGGCAGCGAACGUAUCACUUAAAGCGAUUCAGCGGGUUACGAUUGACGGAGCGAAGCGACGUCAAAGCGUAUACAAAGUCGAGUCGGUUUAAGGAUACGUUCGUUGGGUAGGGGAGCGUUCUGUAAGCCUGUGAAGGUGGCCUGUGAGGGUUGCUGGAGGUAUCAGAAGUGCGAAUGCUGACAUAAGUAACGAUAAAGCGGGUGAAAAGCCCGCUCGCCGGAAGACCAAGGGUUCCUGUCCAACGUUAAUCGGGGCAGGGUGAGUCGACCCCUAAGGCGAGGCCGAAAGGCGUAGUCGAUGGGAAACGGGUUAAUAUUCCCGUACUUGGUGUUACUGCGAAGGGGGGACGGAGAAGGCUAUGUUGGCCGGGCGACGGUUGUCCCGGUUUAAGCGUGUAGGUGUGUGUUCCAGGUAAAUCCGGUUCACUUUAACACUGAGGCGUGA